UACGUAGGGUGCGAGCGUUGUCCGGAAUUAUUGGGCGUAAAGGGCUCGUAGGCGGUUUGUCGCGUCAGGAGUGAAAACUCGGGGCUUAACCCCGAGCCUGCUUCUGAUACGGGCAGACUAGAGGUAUGCAGGGGAGAACGGAAUUCCUGGUGUAGCGGUGAAAUGCGCAGAUAUCAGGAGGAACACCGAUGGCGAAGGCAGGUCUCUGGGCCACUACUGACGCUGAGAAGCGAAAGCAUGGGGAGCGAACAGG
rnacentral:rRNA from 1 species